rnacentral:lncRNA from 1 species
UUAACAGUGAUUCUGCGGUCGCUCUGGGGUCUAAUGAACUUCUUGACCCUCUUCUUCACAACCUUCUUGUUCAGCAAUGGAACCGCCAUUCUUACCUUACCUUCUGCAAUUCAACUAUAAAAUUAGAUCUUGCAUACAGAGAGUAAAUGAAAAAGGCAAAGAGAAGAGACUCGCCGGGAAAUGUGGGUUUUUCUGCAAAAGCCGCCGCAACUUUGUUACGGAAGUGAAUGCAAUAAAAUUAUAUACCCCCUACGGAACCCUUAGCUAGGGUUAUGAAAUGAAAGCGCUGUUAAUUUUCGGGGGAAAAAAGAAUUAAAAAAUUAGGCAUGAAAAAUCAUUUUUGGCCAAA